rnacentral:rRNA from 1 species
UUUUAUUGGAGAGUUUGAUCCUGGCUCAGGACGAACGCUGGCGGCGUGCCUAAUACAUGCAAGUCGAGCGGACCAAAGGGAGCUUGCUCCCUGAGGUUAGCGGCGGACGGGUGAGUAACACGUGGGCAACCUGCCCUGCAGACCGGGAUAACUUCGGGAAACCGGAGCUAAUACCGGAUAAUACCGAAAACCGCAUGGUUUUCGGUUGAAAGGCGGCUUUGGCUGUCACUGCAGGAUGGGCCCGCGGCGCAUUAGCUAGUUGGUGAGGUAACGGCUUACCAAGGCGACGAUGC